rnacentral:rRNA from 1 species
AUUGAACGCUGGCGGCGUGCUUAACACAUGCAAGUGGAGCGACGAACCGGGCUUCGGCCCGGGGCAGAGCCGCGAACGGGUGAGUAACACGUGGGUGACCUGCCCCGAUGACUGGGACAACCCGGGGAAACCCGGGCUAAUACCGGAUGUGCUCUUGGGCUUUCGGGCCCUUGAGGAAAGAUAGCUUCGGCCUUCGCAUCGGGAUGGGCCCGCGGCCCAUUAGCGUGUUGGUGAGGGAACGGCUCACCAAGGCUUCGAUGGGUAGCUGGUCUGAGAGGACGAUCAGCCACACUGGGACUGAGACACGGCCCAGACUCCUACGGGAGGCAGCAGUGGGGAAUCUUCCGCAAUGGACGCAAGUCUGACGGAGCAACGCCGCGUGAGUGAGGAAGGCCUUCGGGUCGUAAAGCUCUGUUGCCCUAGACGAACGCCUGGUGGAGUAACUGCCAUCAGGGUGACGGUAUAGGAGAAGAAAGCCCCGGCUAACUACGUGCCAGCCGCCGCAGUAAGAC